UUUCGUUUCGCACUUUACAGGUACCCGUCCAUCACGACAGAAGCUACUUCAGAAAUCAAUUUCUUUAGAAAAGACACGUAGGUAUGAACUGUGACGCGUUAAAAUAUGCCGGCGUGAUCGUCAUUGUUCAUAUCCUUGUGAAUUUUUUAUUUUUCAUGUUUACAUUUUGCUUUCAUUUCUGUCGGAAUCCCUAGUGGUUAAAACAGACGUACUAAUUUAUCAAGUAGUUCUUCAGUUUUACGCGUAGGAAUUACAACUGCAACACAUUCAUGAGGAAAUGGCUGUCAUUACAUUUUGUAAAGAUAUCAAAGACAAAAACACUGGAAAUGUAAAUAUAUUUAGUACCUAUGUGCCUCAAAUUCCUGUUAGAUUGAGAAAUGCCUCAUAAUGCAACAUCUUGAUAUGGAUAGUUACAACAAUCUGGCAUAAUAAAUUAGUGAAGACAAAGUACGCAUGUUGACGGAAGGGUAGGUCCGAUUAUUUUUGAAUUCCGCAUACAGCGUGUAGAACCUUCGCAUUUCGUACGCAGACAUGUGUCAGAACAUGAUAACUAUAGAAAUCCAGGGUCUAUAGUUUCUCGUGCAAAGUAUUUUGUGCGUGAGCGACAGACAGCGGGAGAAGGAAGAUGUACAUCAGCAGCUAGCAACACUCGUGCUCCGUUUAAUUAGGCGAAGAUGUUUAACAGCUCCAAGAACGGCCUUGACAGUCGUGUUCCUAGCAUUGCGGAAAACACAGCGGGUUGAGGUAGGGAUCCCGAGCGCGGCUUUAUUACUUGUUGAUGGAACAUCUGAUUGUACAGAAGUAAAUCGUACAGUCUGUCGAUAUUGGUUUAGAGUAAGAAAAGAAAACGUCUGGUAAUCGAUAAUGACUUACAAUAAACGCGUGAUGCAUGUAAAGAGCACGUGUUUUGGGAUUAAAAAGUAUUACGCUCCAAUUUACUCUUCAUGAUAGAAAAAUCUUUAAAAAUAAUGAAAACGAAAGUAGGAAAUUCAUUGAUAACAGGUUAAUCAUUAUUCAUUUUAUCACAUUGUUUCUAAUUGGCACAGUGUUUUCCAGUAUUGCGAGCAGCUCGGAUAUCAACACUUGACUGAAAAUUAAGUGUUUGGCGUUUACUCGCUGAAUACUGCAGAUUUCGUGUAAAACCGUUUGUAAUUAAUUAACAGAUUUAUUCAAUUGACUUUAAACUAAAUAUUAUGGUUUCGUUAUUUAAAAAAAGGUCAUCAUGUUACAAAGCUCGCUUGAGUCACAAACUUUAUCUAAUCGUAUAUUAAACGCCCAGUCACUCCGGAAAUCAAAUUCUUCACGCGCUGCAAUUUUGAUGUUUAAUAAAAUGUCCUAGUAGGCUAGAGGAAGCAAGUUUAAAAAAAAAACUAAGAUGAAAAAACAGAGAAGCAAACAAAUAAAAAACCACAGCAAUUGAACAGCAACAAUAUAUAUUUAUUGACUGAGGGUGAGGGCAGCAAGUGUUUUGUUGGACUGGAGGCCUGAGACCGUAGACAACAUUUUGGUCCGAUGGUCCAAUAAAACACAAGUAGCCCGACACACAGUCAAUAUAAAUGUUUUGUUGCCCGACACCUAGUCAAUAUAAAUAUUUUGUUGCCCAACACCCAGUCAAAAUGAAAGUUUUGUUAUACCCUUGUAAAUUUACAACUCUAACAAUGUAUUAGAUGUCAUUUUGGUAACGGACGUGCUAGAGAGCUAGGUUGCCUCUGAGUUUGAAUGAACAUUUACCGUCAAAUCGCUUAGCGAUUUUUCGACUGUGAGCUAACUUGCCACGCAUUGUGACAAGGUAACCCGAGUCCCAGUGAAUAUUGAUGAUGACGUCAAACGAUCCAUUGGAACUGAGCAGUCUAAAGAGGGCCGGGCAUUUCAAACAUUGGAUUUGCUGGACUUUUUAUUGUAUACAGUUAUACAUGAAAAUUAUUCUUUGGGGACUGUAACAACAUUUGUGUAGCAUCAAUUGCACAUUAUCGUUUAAGGAACAAAUUACUACUAUUUCUUUGUAUUAGGGAGCAUGAAAACAAUAAAAACAUGGCGGGGUUUGUAUUGUAACAGGAAGGGAGAAAAUGCAACGGACCAGACUGGGAUUCGAACCCGGGCCCACUGAAUCUCUAGUCAGGUGCUCUACCAACUGAGCUAACUGGCCACCGGCGAUCAAAUCCGGCUGACCGCUACAUUUCUCCCUCCUUAAAUGUCUUCACACCUAAAGACAUCAACCCAGGAUCUUUAUCCCCUGGCAGGCAUUUUCACCUGUCAGUUCCAGUGGCUGGUCUACGGCACCAAAUGUAACAGGAAGGGAGAAAAUGCAACGGACCAGACUGGGAUUCGAACCCGGGCCUCCUGAAUCUCUAGUCAGGUGCUCUACCAACUGAGUUAACUGGCCACCGGCGAUCGAACCCGGCUGACCGCUACAGUAUAUUAAUGCUUUGCUAUCAAUUAUGAUACAAACAACCUACAUGUACAAUUUUGUAUUUGAUAUUGACGUUUAACUUGUUUCUUUUCAUGAAUGUAUAGGUUUGUAUGUGAAGUUGAAACAUCAGUGCUUUUAUCGAGAAAUAUAAUACAGUGAAACGGAUUCCUAACAAAACAUUGUUAAAUGUGAGUAUAUCAAUUUCAUAACAAGCGAGUAGUAACCUGCGUUUGUCAGAAGUCUUCGUGUUUAAUAGGCUUCAUGUCGGAGAAACCGCAAGUUUUAUUGGAUAUAGGUGUACAGCCAAAGAUUAUCUGACAAAAUUUCCCGUAUUAUAGGUGUAUAGCCAAAGAUUAUUUGACAAUUCCAAAUUAGAAGAAAUCUUGGAAGUAGCAAGACAAAAUUGCUGAAUCUUAAGGUAGCGACGGAUAGCAACCACGUGAUCAGUAAAAAUUGUGUAUUUUCACGUGAAUUCAUUUUCCGGAAUUCCUUUCUCCGUCAUAGAAUAGUCGAAAAACAAAAAGGGGUUCCGAAAGUGUUUGUUGCUGUGACUGACUCGCCUAGAGAAAAUAUGCACGUACCACAUAAGUAUACGUCAAUAUCUGUAAUAAUGGUAGAUCAAAUGUUUCAUCUGUGUGAAACUUUUUGCUAAUCGAAAUGUUAAACCAACCACCAAUCCAUGUACAUAGAUGCGCUACGUAAACAAAGUUGUUGGUUGAUACAACGUAAUGUCCGAGUGCAGCAUGCUGCGAGAUUAAACUGUUUAUACAGUCAUUGAGAGGCUAAACAAAGUUUCUUGCAAGAAGAGGAAGUUGGUGGAUGCAUUCAACUUGGACAAUGAACUCAUAGUUUCGUUUGGCAUCAGUCCGAGGACCAAGGGAGGUUAGAUAGGACCAGUGCAGGUUGAUGUGGAUUUCAAGUCAACAAGUAUAACAGCAAGAGAGGUACUCCAUUUACAGUGAUGAUGACAUAUCUCCUGGACCCCCACAACUCCACAAAUUUAAAAAUGUUUGAUCAAGUUCCGAAGAUUAAAGAACUACUGCAAAAUUUGGGACUUGGAUGAAAAACGUCAAUUCACUUAUAUGAGCUCAGAGCAGUGGAUGUUGUACAACAUACUUUAAACUAAAUUGUGAAUUUGAGGGAAAACAAGUACAUGUACUCGUGUAUUACAUGUACAUGCCUUUUGAAAGACAAUAAUAUUGCAUAGAUGUAAAGGAAAUUUCAAUGUUGAUUAUUCUUUCUUAGAUAUAUUAGUAAAAAAUGUGCACAUGAUAGAAUAUCAAUUUUAUAACUUCAAUCAAUGUGUUUGAAUUUUCCUUGUAAUUCAAAAUUUAGUUGAAACAUACAUCAUUGAUACAUUAAUGUAUAUCAAAUUUUUAUAAAAGUUUCAUAAUGGAACUAAUUCACCCCCCCCCCCCCCCCCCCCCCCCCCUUAUACAUAUAGUGAACAUAGACCUUCACCUGGGGAAAACUACAGUUAGUUAAUGCAAUAUACAUGUACAUGCAUUCUCAGUUAUCCAAUAGUGAGUUUUUGGUUCAUUGUGAAACUACAAUUAAAAAUCUUAAACUUAUGAAAGACACACUUAUAUGUGAGGGCAAGAUGACUCAGAUGGACUUACAUGUAGUGAUCCAUGGGCAGUCCAUGGGUCUCUUUCCAUUGAUAUUAAUUAUUUAUUGAAAUAUGUAAUGGUUAUUUAAACAUAUUUGGUGUAUUAUACUGUAUAGUGAUAUAAAUUUCUAUAAAAAAAAUAUGUAUAGGUAAUAGAUUUGGUCCAGUUAUUACAAGAAAUUGUAUGAAAAAUAACUAAGUAUUUAGGCAAUCAUUGUGAGUGCAAAAAGGUCAACUGCAAUAGCACACACUAUAUAUCAUUCUUAAAUGGCUCAUAGAAACUUCUAGUAUUGUGAGUUUGAAUGCUCAAUGUGGUAAUUUGGGAAUGCUUAAUCAUUUAAGGUCAAUAGUUUAUCUCUGCUGACUGUAUCUCUUAAAAUUCAUUUCUAGAAGGGAGGGGGUAGGGGUACAAAAUCUGACAUAGUUUUAGAUUAAACCUCAUUUGGUAUAUUUUUUUCUAUUCAAUAUUUUAGAUACUACUUGACUUAUUGUAAAAAUGAAAUAAAAUCAGAAAUUUUAUGAGCAGAAUUUUGUUGUUGUCAGAAAAUGUAUGCCUGGUAGUAUUUGAGAAACGCCAUAUUUAGGGUAAAUUUGGCCAUUUGCCAAGUCGAAUCAUCCCAAUGUUUUCCUUAGAUGCAUUUUGAAUUUCUGAUCAAUGGUGAUUAUUUGUCUGUUUGUGUUUAAUUUACAUAACUAUAUAUGACAAACAAUAUUUCUGGUGUCAAUAAAAUUUUUAUUGGCUUCUA